ACAGAAGAAGAAGAGAAAAACUGCUAGCAAAUAGAAAAGACUUUAAGGGGAUUGAUGAGUUUAACCCUUCACAUAAAGCGCAAAUUAUUUAGAAUAGCUGGUCAUUAUUUGAUUGCAUCUUCAAUCUAAAGGUCUUAUUUUUUACAUGAGAGAUUUUUAUGAGUAACAUGGCUAUGCAUUAGUUUGCGUCAAUGGAUUGGCUAGCCGAUCAACCUGCUGCGAUUUUCUUAAUUUUGGAUGAAGCUGAUCUUAUGCUGAUCCUACAAAUCGUCGCAAAUCUGUUGUAUUUGGACGUUUUUUGUGGGGUUUUUUGCACCAAAAAUACACAUGAAACUCAGGACAUUUUAUUGGCCGUUUCAGUUAUUUUGCUAGUUUGUCCUCAACUAAAAUCAAAUCUUGUGAUUUUGUAAAAGCAAAUACUGUUGUGCAUUUUUCAAAACUAGCCUGUUGUCUAACCUUGUUGUUAAAAUGGGGGAAAAAAAGACUAAAAGGAACUGAUUUUUAAAGUUUAGUUUAGUUAAUUUAGUAGUUUGAACAGCAAUCCUUUAAACUUUUCAUUUGUAUUUGAGAUCAGCACAUCAUGAGUUUGUUUUCUUACGCAGUGGAAAUGCUGCCUAUUCACGGUUCUGUUUUCACAGAUUUUUCUGUGGAACGCAACUCUAAAUCAUUUGCGGAAAACCUACAUAAUCGUAAAUGUACUCAGCAUACCCAAAAUAUUCUAAAUGUAAUGCAGCUAUAAAGGUAAAUGGUUUAGACUAGUCACCAUGUUUCAGACUCUUAUUUUGAAGUAAGAAGAUAAGUUGCUCUUGAACCACUCUGUUGUGCUAACAGAGUUGACUAGGAUUGUAGGUCAGGCUGGUGGAGAACACUCUGCUAGAAAACAUUAAGAAAAGCUUCCGCCAUUUUUCACUAGUGUGACAAAAUUUUUGGUACUCAAUAGAAACUGUGCCAGAGAAGUUGAGGACACUUUGAAAAGUGUGCUGCAACAGUCUAGCCUUUGCUGCUAGCAGUGCUAAAGUUGGUGUCUAAUCAAGUCAAGUUUAUUUGUAUAAUACAGUUCAGUAAAAAAGCAGUUCAAAGUUCUUUACAUCAUCAAAACAAAUUGUAAAACUAGCAAUAAAUCUUCAACAUCAAACUCUUCAAGAAUAAUCUUCAUUAAACAUGUUGACCAAUGUUCCACUUUUAGUCAUGAUUUAAAGGAACUCAGUGUUUUGUCUCUUUUGCAGUUUUCUGGAAGUUUGUUCCAGAUUUAAGGAGCAUAAAAUCUGGAUGCUGCUCUUCAUGUUGGGUUCUGGUUCUGAGAGAGUAGUGCUCCAGGGCUUCCUAUUGGCUCUUCAUGAUUAUAAAACAUUUAUUCUAUUUGUCCCAUUUAAAAAUCAAUGUAGCGCUUUCUGCGUUUUCUUGCAUUAACUUUCACUAAAAACACAAUAAAAAAUCUGUCUCGUUUAUCUACUGUUCAUCUUUGACAGGGACCCAUCGUCGCACCCCGUAUAGUUACCAGAGUCCCGAGGAAGCCGUCAUGGCGCUGCCUGAGAGCCUCGUCACGAACAACAGUGGACUGGGAUUUCCUGACCCUUGAAGACGACGCGCCUCUUGCACGCACAUUUAGCGACAGAUCCGGCAGCAGCCUGGGGGUGAAGGCUCUCUCCAGGCAUUCGCCGUUUAGGUUCAAGUUUUUCUUUGAAAAUAGCUCAAGAUGAAUCAGUCUGGAUGGACGGAAGGAUGGAGAGCCUGCAAAUGUCACAAAUCCCAAAUAUGGAUCCUCCUUAACUUCCAUCUCUAACCGGGCACAUAAAGAACUAAGGCCAGCAGACAGAAUGCAACAGAAUCCUACAGACAGAAUCCUACAAAUAGGAUGUAGGCUUGGCCUUUGACAAGACACAACAAACCAACAUUUCAUUGUAGCUGUAUGUUCAGGGUUGUUUUCCUGUAGAAAGUUUUCUGCAGUCUUACAAUUUUUUCGUCCAAUAUUACUCAUAUUUACUUCCAUCGAUUUAAAAAAACAAAAAAAAAAUUCUGAAGAGUCUCCUUCUCCCAGCUGAGGAAAAGCAUCCCCACAGCAUGACGCUAGCACCACCAUGUUUUUACAGUGGGGAUGGUGAGAUUCUUAUUUCGAUUAAAAUACGCAGAGGUGGCCUCCGUUCAGGAUUUAGAUGACUUCUGAAAGCAGCUGGUUGCACUGGUAUUUGUUUAGCUCAGCGCUAUGAGAACAAAGGGGGCUCAAUACAAAUGCAUGCCACACUUUUCAGAUUUUUAAAUACUUUAAACCCGUUUAUAUAAUAACAAUAUUUUUGCAAUGCAAUGCAUAGCAUCUGUAUUAAAGCAAAAUCAAAAUC